UGGAUCCAGACUUUGAUCAUGGCUCAGGACGAACGCUGGCGGCGUGCUUAACACAUGCAAGUCGAACGGGGCAGAGUGAUAGCUUGCUAUUAUGAUGCUUAGUGGCAAACGGGUGAGUAACGCGUAGGCAACCUGCCCUCCGGAUGGGGACAACACUCCGAAAGGGGUGCUAAUACCGAAUGAAGUAUUCUGGUCACAUGACCGGGAUACCAAAGGCCGGGCAACCGGCCACCGGGGGAUGGGCCUGCGUCUGAUUAGCUGGUCGGCGGGGUAACGGCCCACCAAGGCGACGAUCAGUAGCCGGUCUGAGAGGAUGAACGGCCACAUUGGGACUGAGACACGGCCCAAACUCCUACGGGAGGCAGCAGUGGGGAAUCUUCCGCAAUGGGCGCAAGCCUGACGGAGCAACGCCGCGUGAGUGAAGAAGGUUUUCGGAUCGUAAAGCUCUGUUGAGAGGGACGAGAGAUGUGCUUAGGAAAUGAGGCGCAGAGGACGGUACCUUUCGAGGAAGCCACGGCUAACUACGUGCCAGCAGCCGCGGUAAUACGUAGGUGGCGAGCGUUGUCCGGAAUUAUUGGGCGUAAAGGGAGCGCAGGUGGGAUAGUAAGUCAGUCUUAAAAGUUCGGGGCUUAACCCCGUGAUGGGAUUGAAACUAUUAUUCUUGAGUGCAGGAGAGGAAAGCGGAAUUCCUAGUGUAGCGGUGAAAUGCGUAGAUAUUAGGAGGAACACCAGUGGCGAAGGCGGCUUUCUGGACUGUAACUGACACUGAGGCUCGAAAGCGUGGGGAGCGAACAGGAUUAGAUACCCUGGUAGUCCACGCCGUAAACGAUGGAUACUAGGUGUAGGAGGUAUUCGACCCCUUCUGUGCCGGAGUUAACG
rnacentral:rRNA from 1 species